AGUCAGAUAGAUAAUACAAAGAACUCUGGUUUUUCAAAACCGAUGGGUCAAAAAGUUAUUAUGAACAGAUAAAUUGAAAUGGAUUGCUUGUCGAUUAACUGGAAGAAACCGGGGAACGAAAGAAAGUUGUGUUUCUCUUAACGGAUUACGUACCCACUAUGUUGUACUUGGAAAGCGCAACGAAAGCUGACUCAAAAUCAUGCUGUUUGGGCCCCCUGGUUGUACAUAGGAAGUGGACUCCUCGAGAAGAUGAAAGGUCUGCUUUACAUCAUUUUCAAUGAAAGUACAAGUACUUUGAGAAGUAGGAGAAGCUAAGCAACAGAACAGAAUUCAUUUGGGUCAUUGAUGUCUAGAUUAUAUAGUGGAUUCAUAGAUUGUCAUAUUGAUUUAUGUGCAUAUGAGCACAGAGGAGCAGUAGUCAAUGAAUAAUUUUGUGAUGAGAGCUUGUUACCAAAUGAAAGGAAAGUACAGUAUUGACAAUGAUUGAUAUCACUGGUGAA